ACUCAAAGGAAUUGACGGGGGCCCGCACAAGCGGUGGAGCAUGUGGUUUAAUUCGACGCAACGCGAAGAACCUUACCUGGGUUUGACAUGUAUAGGACAGGUAGUGAAAGCUAUCCUCUCUUCGGAGCCUAUGCACAGGUGCUGCAUGGCUGUCGUCAGCUCGUGUCGUGAGAUGUUGGGUUAAGUCCCGCAACGAGCGCAACCCUCGCCCUUUGUUGCCACCAGGUCAUGCUGGGCACUCUGAGGGGACUGCCCCGGUUAACGGGGAGGAAGGUGGGGAUGACGUCAAGUCCUCAUGGCCUUUAUGUCCAGGGCUACACACGUGCUACAAUGGUCAGGACAAUGGGUUGCUCCCUCGCAAGGGGUUGCCAAUCUCAAAAACCUGAUCUCAGUUCGGAUGGCCGGCUGCAACUCGCCAGCCUGAAGCUGGAAUCGCUAGUAAUCGGAGAUCAGCACGCUCCGGUGAAUACGUUCCCGGGCCUUGCACACACCGCCCGU
rnacentral:rRNA from 1 species